GACGAACGCUGGCGGCGUGCUUAACACAUGCAAGUCGAACGGAAAGGCCCCUUUGGGGGUACUCGAGUGGCGAACGGGUGAGUAACACGUGCGUAACCUGCCCUUGACUUCGGGAGAACUUCAGGAAACUGGGGCUAAUACCGGAUAGGAAUCCUUGCUGCAUGGUGGGGGUGGGAAAGCUUCGGCGGUUUUGGAGGGACUCGCGGCUUAUCAGCUUGUUGGUGGGGUGGUGGCUUACCAAGGCUUUGACGGGUAGCCGGCCGGGGAGGGCGACCGGCCAACUUGGGGCUUGGAUACGGCCCAGACCCCCACGGGGGGCAGCAGUGGGGAAUAUUGCCCAAUGGGCGGAAGCCCGAUGCAGCCACGCCGCGGGCGGGAUGACGGGCUUCGGGUUGUAAACCGCUUUCAGCAGGGGCGAAGCUUGUGGUGACGGUACCUGCAGAAGAAGCACCGGCUAACUACGUG
rnacentral:rRNA from 1 species